CAGAAUUUCACUGUGUAACUCGGGGGUGGUGUGUCCUCAGGACUUGGAGAUUUGGAAGGUGGAAGUGAACAGCAGCCACGGAAGGUGCUGGGAUGUGACAAGAAAGGCCAAGUUCCUGCUUCUGGUCAUGCCUGUGAUUCUCUUGGAGCCAGGAUGGUUCCCGGCCUCUCUCACCCCUUCCAGCAUGGCCUGACCUCUAGAUUUCCAACCCAGACUUUCCCCUGAAAGCCCCUUACACUGUCACCUCCUGCGUCCUGGCUCCGUGGUGAAGGGACAGAAUUAGCGCUCACCUCACG